AAGUCGUAACAAGGUUUCCGUAGGUGAACCUGCGGAAGGAUCAUUAACACGUCUCCACGUAUUCAACCACUGUGCACUUCAACGCUCCCUUUGAUCCUGUCAUGCAUUGUGAUAGGAUUGAAGGCAUGCAGAUGUUGGAAGCAAGGAAUGGAGAUAGGAGCGAAAGCACGUAUCAUCCCUUCCUUUGUCUUCCCAUCUGUCUCGACAUACCAUUUCUCCCUGUUCUCAAUUGUUGUCUUGCGUACAUAGCACAGCACAUAAAUCUUUGUAUGUGUAUGUAUAUUUACGCGUUGUGUGAUUGAAUCACAUUAAUUCAAUGUCAUACAACUCUUAGCAAUGGAUAUCUUGGUUCUCGC
rnacentral:misc_RNA from 1 species